rnacentral:rRNA from 1 species
AAUAGAUACCCUGGUAGUCCACGCCGUAAACGAUGAGUGCUAAGUGUUAGAGGGUUUCCGCCCUUUAGUGCUGAAGUUAACGCAUUAAGCACUCCGCCUGGGGAGUACGGCCGCAAGGCUGAAACUCAAAGGAAUUGACGGGGGCCCGCACAAGCGGUGGAGCAUGUGGUUUAAUUCGAAGCAACGCGAAGAACCUUACCAGGUCUUGACAUCCUCUGACAACCCUAGAGAUAGGGCUUCUCCUUCGGGAGCAGAGUGACAGGUGGUGCAUGGUUGUCGUCAGCUCGUGUCGUGAGAUGUUGGGUUAAGUCCCGCAACGAGCGCAACCCUUGAUCUUAGUUGCCAUCAUUCAGUUGGGCACUCUAAGGUGACUGCCGGUGACAAACCGGAGGAAGGUGGGGAUGACGUCAAAUCAUCAUGCCCCUUAUGACCUGGGCUACACACGUGCUACAAUGAACAGUACAAAGAGCUGCAAGACCGCGAGGUGGAGCUAAUCUCAUAAAACCGUUCUCAGUUCGGAUUGU